CCUUGUUAUUAUAAUGCAUCAACAUCAAUAAAUGCAGAUAACGAGCAAACUCACUCUCCGAAGGCACUCUCUGCAAAUGUCUCAACACCAAAUCAUCCACCAAAUCUGUUCGAUUCCUCUCCAUCAACCCUCGGAUUAACACGUA
rnacentral:sRNA from 13 species